UGGGGAAUAUUGCACAAUGGGGGAAACCCUGAUGCAGCGACGCCGCGUGAGCGAAGAAGUAUUUCGGUAUGUAAAGCUCUAUCAGCAGGGAAGAAAAUGACGGUACCUGACUAAGAAGCCCCGGCUAACUACGUGCCAGCAGCCGCGGUAAUACGUAGGGGGCAAGCGUUAUCCGGAUUUACUGGGUGUAAAGGGAGCGUAGACGGAGCAGCAAGUCUGAUGUGAAAGGCAGGGGCUCAACCCUUGGACUGCAUUGGAAACUGUUGAUCUUGAGUACCGGAGGGGUAAGCGGAAUUCCUAGUGUAGCGGUGAAAUGCGUAGAUAUUAGGAGGAACACCAGUGGCGAAGGCGGCUUACUGGACGGUAACUGACGUUGAGGCUCGAAAGCGUGGGGAGCAAACAG
rnacentral:rRNA from 1 species